UACGUAGGUGGCAAGCGUUGUUCUGAAUGACUGGUCGUAAAGGGCGUGUAGGUGGACUGAUCAGUCGGGUGUGAAAUAUCCAGGCUCGACCUGGAGGGUGCAUCCGAUACGGUCAGUCUUGAGUGCAGGAGAGGGCAGUGGAAUUCCCAGUGUAGCGGUGAAAUGCGUAGAUAUUGGGAGGAACACCAGUGGCGAAGGCGGCUGCCUGGACUGUAACUGACACUGAGGCGCGAAAGCGUGGGGAGCAAACA
rnacentral:rRNA from 1 species